UUAUUUAAAAAGGGGGAACUUUGCAAGUGACCAUCCUGUAGCCAUUCUCAAUUCUCUACAUUUGCAGACAAGCUGGCAAACAAACGUUGUCCUUGAGGCUUUCCAUCUGCGCCCACGAACUUUGAUUAGCAAUUGAAAGCAGGGUUUGUUUGUUUGUUUUGUUGGUUUUGGAUUCAGGGGCUAUUCACAGCUUUCUGCUGAUGGUGAUGCAUCAUUACUUUGCUGGGGGAAAGGGCCCAGAAUAGCCCAUCGCUCUGUUCUCCUCCCAGCGUCCAAGAAGAAAAAACCAAACUCACCCAGGAUUUCGAAUUGGAGCCAAUUAACUAAUUUAAUCAAUCAGGUAAUUAGCUCAUCCAUUCAAUACAUGUGGUGUUAAUGAAGUAAGGACUGGAUAGAUAAUUUCAGCAUGUAAAUUUUGUAAGGAUCCCCAACAAGUAACCUAUUCUUAAGACAGGCCCAUGCUUUACUGUCCGCGUCCACGGUCAAGGACCUCCAAAAGAGGUAAUUAAAAAAUAAUACCUGCUUAGAAAACUUACACUCUUUCUUGUUCAUGUUAUAAAUAUAACAAAUUCCCUGUUUGGUGUUUCAACGCCCUUUACUUCUCUCUUAAUUUGUCAUUACUCUCAAGUGGAAUCAUUAGUUCAAUUAAAUAUACUUCGUGACUUGUUCACUCAGCUUUCAGGCCACUCUGCUUGCACCUGGCGCCCUCUGGCCACUUCCAGGCCCCUGCUUCCUCCACGCCCAGCGGGCCUCCGGCUCCGCUUUGCUUCCGCUUCCGCUUGCAGUGAUGCCUGCCGGUCCUCCUUCUUCCCGCGUUGAAUGUGUGCUCUGUGGCAUCUCUCUAGCCCCCUCAGUUAUACUACACUGAGAAAUGGGAUUUUGGAUAAAAGGAAAUCAUCCCCUAGAAGCUGGAAGCCCAAGCUUGUUUUCGUCAAUAAACAACAGCUCUUAGACAUGGUGCUUGACUUUUUUUCUGACUCACAUAUCCAUAUAGAACCCGUCAUGCUGUGCUAUAUACUCAAGCCACAAUCAACUGAAGUUGCUCCUUGCCUAAAUUGUUAUUCCUUAUUUGAUAAGGCAUUUGUACCCAUUAAAGCAGAUUCCUGACUCAA